rnacentral:rRNA from 1 species
UACGAAGGGGGCUAGCGUUGCUCGGAAUGACUGGGCGUAAAGGGCGCGUAGGCGGAUGGCUUUGUCGGGCGUGAAAUUCCAGGGCUUAACCUUGGGGCUGCGUUCGAGACGGGUUGUCUUGAGUGGGGAAGAGGGUCGUGGAAUUCCCAGUGUAGAGGUGAAAUUCGUAGAUAUUGGGAAGAACACCGGUGGCGAAGGCGGCGACCUGGUCCUUUUACUGACGCUGAGGCGCGAAAGCGUGGGAAGCAAACAGG